UACGUAGGGGGCAAGCGUUGUCCGGAUUUAUUGGGCGUAAAGAGCGUGUAGGCGGUUUGGUAGGUCCGCUGUGAAAACUCGAGCUCAACCUCGAGACGCCGGUGGAAACCAUCAGACUAGAGUCCGGAAGAGGAGAGUGGAAUUCCUGGUGUAGCGGUGAAAUGCGCAGAUAUCAGGAAGAACACCCGUGGCUAAGGCGGCUCUCUAGUACGGUACUGACGCUGAGGCGCGAAAGCGUGGGGAGCAAACAGG
rnacentral:rRNA from 1 species